CCUACGGGUGGCUGCAGUGAGGAAUAUUGGUCAAUGGCCGAGAGGCUGAACCAGCCAAGUCGCGUGAGGGAAGACGGCCCUACGGGUUGUAAACCUCUUUUGUCGGGGAGCAAAGCGAGUCACGUGUGACUCAUUGAGAGUACCCGAAGAAAAAGCAUCGGCUAACUCCGUGCCAGCAGCCGCGGUAAUACGGAGGAUGCGAGCGUUAUCCGGAUUUAUUGGGUUUAAGGGGUGCGUAGGCGGGUUAUCAAGUCUGCGGUAAAAUCGUGGAGCUCAACUCCAUCCAGCCGUUGAAACUGAUGAUCUUGAGAGGGCGAGAGGUAUGCGGAAUGCGUGGUGUAGCGGUGAAAUGCAUAGAUAUCACGAAGAACUCCGAUUGCGAAGGCAGCAUACCGGCGCCCGACUGACGCUGAAGCACGAAAGCGUGGGUAUCGAACAGGAUUAGAUACCCGAGUAGUC
rnacentral:rRNA from 1 species